rnacentral:piRNA from 1 species
CGGCAAGUUGACUAGGCUGGAGGAC